GGAAGCGGAGGACAACUGCUUACUCGAGCACGGAGCGCGGAACUGAGGCAGCCGCGAGAGGGAGGCCCCUGCUUCUCGGCGAAGGAGCGCGCUGGACCAAUCACAGACAUGUGUGGACAGCUGCCUAGCUAUAGUCAAAGGCUCAGUCCAAUACGAAAGUAACAACAGAAUGAACGAUUGAGCGCUAAGAGCAUAGUGACAACAUAUGAGAAACUCCUCUCCUUAUUCUUUCACUCAGAGCUGGCACCACCCUCUUCAGGACUUCUUAUUUAGCCCUCCUGAUAACAUCUUGUGCACUGGAAUAUGGAGGUAGCCUGAGCUUUGGGGACAUAAAUGGACAAAACAUUCUUGUCAAGAGGAGACAAAGGAGAAACUCCACUGGUGGACAGUUCAAAGCUCCUGAUUGUUCUAUUGUCAUUGAAAUGUAUUGUUUUAAGGAGCUCCAAAGAACGCACAAGUCUGGACUUAUUUCUGCAGGAGGGAACAAAUUUGCUUUUUCCAGUUGGCAUAAAUAGUCUGCUGCCAUCCACCUGAUUUUGCUUUCCACUCAGCUCCCUCAGUGGUUAAAAUGCCAGCACAGUACAUUUUCCUAAUGUGUUUUGUCAAAGUAGCAAUUUUCUAAUAGUGUCGUAUGAAAAGUAGAAAAUGACACAAAAUGUUUGUGUUUUCUAUUGAUCUUUAAAAUGACCCCGCUCCUUUUCAGGAUAAGUGACUGACAAUUACUUGGCAGAUAACCCAUGCAGACACCGACCUUGAAGAAUUAGAGGAAAUCUGUUCCACGGAUGAAGUGUUCUUGAACAAUUUCUCUGAAGGAUUGCACACAAAAGUGCUUUCCUCUGGCAUCAUUCAUGCAUGCCCUCUUGUUCCACUCUCUGACUGUGGUACAAACGUGAUGCUGUAGUCAAUGUAAGGAAGAAGAAGAAGAAAAAUAAACAAACUACCUUACA